AAAAACUUGGAAUAGUUCAAGUCCUAGAGAGGGGGGAAAAGGCAAGACAAAGGGGGCGGGACCGUCGAUCAACCCCGCCCCUCAACGAAGACACGCCUCCCAGGACUCGGACGUCACCAGAUAGCCCCGCCCCUCAUUGUCAGUCCCGGGAGCCGGAGGAGGCGCCGGCCGCCGGGAGCUGAGCGCCGGAGUCCGUGGCGGGCGGGAUCGCGGGCUGGAGCCGCUGAGACAAAUAGCACAUGCACGCAGAACCGCCACCGCUAGCACCAGAAGAAAUGCCUCAGGGAAGCAGCGUGGCGAGAUCUGUCAGGGCGGAAAGGCUCUGAAGAGGCAGCACUGAAGAGUUGGAGGAUGUUUACAGUUAUCCUUUGUUUCUGGGGACAGAGGACCAGUACACCGAGGAUGCGAGAAGUCAAGAGGCAGCUGCCACUGCAAUAUAGUGCGUGACCGUGUCCACGACAGCAAGCAUCAGGGGAGCAGCCAGAAGCAUUGACAGGACCCUUCAGUCCCCUAAAUGACUGAGAAUGGUCUCCAACUGCCAAAGAAGAUUGUGGGUGCCAAGAGAAAGGUAACCGUUUCUUAUCACCACGAGUGGAAUUGGUCGCCUCUGGGAGCCCACUUUGGCUGGCAGUAGACAUGGCUGAGUUUACAAGCUACAAAGACACUGCUUCCAGCCGCCACCUGCGGUUCAAGUUACAGAGUCUAAGCCGCCGCCUUGAUGAGUUGGAGGAAGCCACAAAAAACCUCCAGAAAGCAGAGGAUGAGCUCCUGGACCUCCAGGACAAGGUGAUUCAGGCAGAAGGCAGCAACUCCAGCAUGUUAGCCGAGAUUGAAGUGCUGCGCCAGCGAGUGCUGAGAAUCGAAGGCAAAGAUGAGGAAAUUAAGAAAGCAGAGGACCUUUGUCAGCUGAUGAAGGAGAAGCUUGAAGAGGAGGAAAACCUCACCCGGGAGCUGAAAUCUGAGAUUGAGCGGCUCCAGAAACGGAUGGCAGAACUGGAGAAGCUAGAGGAGGCCUUUAGCAGGAGUAAGAAUGACUGUACCCAGCUCUGUCUGAGCCUGAACGAGGAGAGAAACCUGACGAAGAAAAUCUCCUCUGAGCUGGAAAUGCUCCGGAUCAAAGUGAAAGAACUGGAAUCUUCUGAGGACCGGCUGGAUAAAACUGAGCAGAGUUUAGUGUCAGAGUUAGAAAAGCUGAAAUCACUAACUCUGAGCUUUGUAAGUGAGCGAAAGUACUUGAAUGAAAAGGAGAAAGAAAACGAGAAACUGAUAAAAGAGCUUACUCAAAAAUUGGAGCAGAACAAAAAAAUGAACCGCGAUUACACCAGGAAUGCUUCUAAUCUUCUGGAAAGGAAUGACCUGCGGAUUGAGGAUGGUAUCUCUUCCCCACUGCCGUCCAAAGAAGCAAGAAGGAAGGGCGCGCUGGACUAUCUAAAGCAGGCAGAGAAUGAAGCCAGAAACAAGUCAGAAAACGAAAAGAACCGCAAUCAGGAAGACAACAAAGUAAAAGACCUCAACCAAGAGAUUGAGAAACUCAAGACACAGAUCAAACAUUUUGAAUCCUUGGAGGAAGAGCUUAAGAAAAUGAGGGCCAAAAACAAUGAUCUUCAGGAUAAUUACCUAAGUGAACAAAAUAAAAACAAACUCUUAGCCAGCCAGCUGGAGGAGAUAAAGCUACAAAUCAAGAAACAGAAAGAAUUAGAGAAUGGGGAGGUGGAAGGGGAAGACGCUUUCCUGUCCAGCAGAGGCAGGCACGAGAGGACUAAGCUUAGAGGCCAUGGGAAUGAGGCGUCCGUGAAGCACACGGCCCGGGAACUGUCCCCCCAGCAUAAGCGGGAAAGGCACCGGAACAGGGAACUGGCCCUCAGCAAUGAAAACCCUCUGAACAGCAGGCAGGUCUCCUCUCCCAGCUUUACCAACAGGAGGACAGCCAAAGCUUCCCACGCAGGGGCAGGCGCCGACAGUGGGGCUCAGGAGGCGAGGAGAACCGAAGACCGGUUCACAGCUGGCUUCUCGCAGAGCGAAGGGAAGAAGUCCCGGGAGCAGCCGCCGGUGCUCAGCCGCUACCCGCCCGCCGCUCAGGAGCACAGUAAGGUCUGGAAGGGCGCUCCCAGGCCAGGCACCGAGAGUGCGCUGAAGGGAAGAGUAGAGAAGGCGACGCGAACGUUUAGCGACAGCACCCAUGGAUCUAUUUCCAAUGACGCGUCGGGGAGAGGCGACAAGGCUUCUGACACCUCUGCUGAGGCCCCCUUUGGCAAGAGGGGGCAGGUGCCUGGCAGUGGAAGUCAAAUCACUCCGGCUGCAGAUGCUGGCAGUUCUAAAGCCACUGGAGCCCUGGCCACAUCUCGACGCUCUUCCUCAGAAGGGCUCUCUAAGGGGAAAAAGGCCGCCGGUGGCCCGGAGCCUGACAUCAGUUUCCCCGGCUCCAAGACGCCAUCUCUAUCCAAGUAUCCUUAUAGCUCCAGAAGCCAAGAGAACAUCCUCCAGGGAUUUUCAACCCCAAGUAAAGAGGGAGCUGAGCAACCUGUGGCAGUUGUGAUGGAAGACAGUGGCCAGCACGAGGCCCUGAGGUGUCGAGUCACCAAGUCCAGCGGCAGGGAGAAGCUGGACUCGGACGACGACGUGGACAUGGUGUCUCUUGUUACUGCCAAACUGGUGAACACGACCAUCACUCCAGAGCCAGAGCCCCCGCAGCAGCCCCAGUCGAGAGAAAAGGCCAAAUCCCGAGGAGCGGUUAGAGCCUCCCUGUUUGAGAACGAUAAGGAUGUAGGAACAGAAAAUGAAUCUGGGAAAGCCAUCAGAGCCUCCACCAAUGCCACGGAGCUCCCAGAGGCCAACGGCCCCGGGGCAAAAAGCCAGCGGCCCUUCAGCCCCAGAGAGGCCUUGCGGUCUAGAGCCAUCAUCAAGCCUGUCAUCAUUGAUAAGGAUGUGAAAAAAAUCAUGGGAGGAUCUGGAACCGAGGCCGCAUUGGAAAAACAGAAAUCUGCUUCCAAACCGGGGCCAAACAAAGUGACCAGCAGCAUAACUAUCUACCCCUCGGACAGCGGCAGCCCGCGAGCCGCUCCGGGCGAGGCCGCGCGGGAGAGGCACACGUCCACCAGCAACAUCCAGGUCGGGCUGCCAGAGCUCGCCUCGGUGAGCAACCACGUCAGCUCCCCCUUUGAGCUCUCCAUUCACAAACAUGACAUCACCCUGCAGCUCAGCGAAGCGGAGAGAACGGGAGAUGGGUCCCUGAAGAACAGGCCGGAAACGGUGGUCUCUCGGAGCAGCAUUGUAAUCAAGCCGUCGGACCCGGUGGAGAGGAACAGCCAUGCACCCCCAGCGGAGACAAUCAGGUGGAAAAGCCAUAGUGCGCCUUUAGAAGCGGGCUCUUCAGACGCCAGACACGUCACCGUGCGCAACGCCUGGAAGAGCAGGCGCGACUUGAACUCUGCAGAAGACUCCCCAGGUCGUGUAGGUAGACACGUGGAGUCUCCCAACCCCCACGCCCAGAGAUCGUCCACAGACUGUCCAGACCCUGAACAGCCCGGCUCAUACCUUUCUGAGCAGGGCACUCGAAGGGGCGGAACCUCAGGGGAUGUCCCUGAGCUCGCCUCCAGAAGGACCCAGAGCAGCCUCACCGUGUCGGAGGUGUUCACGCGGCGGAGUCGGGCAGGGGACGCCGUCCCGGCCGAGGCCUGGAACCACUCGGCAGGCACGGAGGAAGGGGACGACUGCACCCUCAGCGUCUACAGACGACUGCACAACUCCCUCGAGAGGUCUGAACUGUCCAUGAUGCAGGGGCUGCCGGAGCCCGGGCGCGUGCGGGCUGAGCAGCGGCUGCGGCCCACCAGGCCCUGUGCCGAGGACAACUGAGCCAGCCGGGCGACGCCUGCCGUCUCCUCUGCCCCUGCUUCUCAGCUCAUCCACCUUCCCGCCCUGAGGAGGAGCCAGGCCAGCCCCCAGGCCUUGCCUGGGAGACUGUGGCAGAGAGCCCGGCUGUGGCCCAUUGCUUGCCAGUUGGCCAGAGGGGAUCAGAAACUACAAGCUGUGCGUGCUCACCCGGGCUCCACCUUCACUGAUGCAUGAGUUUUCUCUCCUUAUCCCCGUCCCCCAGGUAGGAUGGGCCAGUCCGGCUCCGAAAUGAGGAAAGACCUAGAAAAUAUAUUGGCUCCCCACCACACAACAGCAGCCAAAUCUCUUCCCAGCUCCUCUGUGGGUUCUGUGUUUGUAGGGCAACCCCUUCUGUGUGGUUAAGAUUCUGAUUCCUUAGUAUCCUCACUGUAUCCAACUCACUCAUUUGCCCAAGGGGCCUGCGCACCCACCAGCCAUCAGCUCCAUCUGCGGGGCCUCUGUUUCUUCCCCUGUGGAGUUCCUCAGACUUCUACAGCGAGAGAGAUCUGUGUAGCCUCUAAGGGUUUACGGAACUACCCUUUAGGUUGAUGUUUCUCUGACUUGUCCCCCUGGCUGACCGUUUUCUGGGGGCAGAGCACACGGGUACCCUACCUACUGGAAUGGCAUCGUCCCUCGUCACCAACCCCGGCUCUCUGCUCACCUUCCCUGGGCACCCACCAUGCUGCUGGCCCGGCCUGCUCCUCUUCUGAGGCUGGAGACCUCAGGCUGACUGCAUCAUCUCCUCCUCUGGAAUAUUCCCAGACUCCACUGGGCCAGACCCAGCAUCCUCUGCCUUCUAGGAAGUGCCAGCAUCGGGCAGAGUGGACAGGAAGAAGCAAUUUCCCUUUAGUCACUCCAUAAAGCAAUAGCUCCAUGAAAAACGCGUGGACUUUGUUCCUCCUCCUGGUCCCCCGAGGAGGAGGUAUCGCACUUUACCAGGCUGAUGCAUCCUACCCGAAGCUGGCCCAUGAGCGCUGCAAGGCAGCGAUCGUCGUGACGACUUUGGAGGAUAGGUGAACAUGCCCAUCGAGAGCCCCAGGCUUAAUGGUUCAGAAAUCAGCAAGCCUUUCAGGAAGCCAUGGAAAGAAAAACCGAUUACAGUUUCCUUACACCAGUCCCCUGGGGAAGAACCAUAUAUUCUUCGCACUGCUUUUUCUAUAGCAUUCUCUCAGUUCAAAGGGAUCCCUUUUCAAAGGCUACCUUUAUGAAGCCGACACUGUUCCUUCAUAAUGAAAGACGGCACUGGAGUAGAAGUUGAGAAAGCUGUUUUCUUCAUGGCUUUAUACUUCCCUCCUGUGUGACCUUAGGCAAAUCAUUGUCCUCUUGGGGGCUCAGUUUCCCUAUCUAUAAAAUUAGUUCUUUAAAAUGGAUGGUCUCCAAGGGUCCUAAACAUGGCAUUUUAAGUUCGGUUUCCACCCUGUAGGGGGGUGAUUCUCACUGUUGGAAGGUGUUGUCCAAAUGGGUUUACAUGUGUCCUUCCCACUGCCUUUGUUUUUCUGGGCCUUAUUCUUUCCAGUUUCCUGUGUUUUAAUGUCGAGAGGAUAAACUCAAGAGAAGUUACCUUAGCCCUGUUUUUCUAGUCUGUAAAAUGGAAGGGUUAGAUUAGAUGGUCUCUGUGGCCCUUCUCAAUACCAACCUUGCCCAGUGCUGCACAGCAGGCCGUGUGCUUUCCAUGACACGAUUUGGUAUAUCUCCAGUUCCAUUGCUUCUUGAAUCUUCUCUGCCUCCACUCAGGGUGGGAACCAGCAUUCACCCCUCCCUUGUCUGCAUCAGUUUUGGUGGUCUUGGAGGAGGCUUCGGGAGCACCUACCUGACUUUGACGGACAGGCGUGUUUUGCUCAUACUUCCAUUUCCCGGAGGUUUGCCGAUCCAAGGGUUGUAAUGUGGUUUGCCUUUUCUCCUCAUCGCUGCCUCAGAUGCUCAGGACGCUGUCUUCAGAAUCUCUUCCUGCUGCUUUUCCUGGCUCAAGGCUGCAGCCCCUCACUGUAGCCUCCCUGCCACUCUGCACUGGUCAGCAACCCUGAGAGUCCAGAGGAAACAGACCUCUAUGGUAGUCAGCUGAGACUAUACGAAGUUAGGUCUGUGGCUCUUUGCGGGUGGAAACAGGCGCCAGACCAUGCAUGCCUGCAAAGGUCUCGCCAAUAAUUCUUGUCUCUUUGGGCGUUUGGAGCCCUGGAUUCUGGUGCUGUAGCUCCUGGUGCCAAAGUCUGGAUCUUUCCACAGUUCAGCAGCACCAGCAUCUGCCACCGCCCAGAAUGCUCUGUGGGAGAGGGACAGCUGUGGUGCCCUCUUGCUGGGGCUGCUGACUUAAACUCUGAGUGCAAUAGGGUUUGAUUGUACAAUUAUUUCAGGAUAGAUAUUGUUUCCUUAUUCUGCACACUUUCUAGAGCCCGCUGUAAAAUAGAUUUUAUUUUUAAACAUCCUCAACAUUGCAGAAAAUACUAUUUGUAAUAGCAAGUGAAGGCUAGAGGCGCAGUUCCUCUGGGCUUCGAAUGGCUGGCAAGGCUGGCUCUCAAAUUCCAAAGUUAGAAGGCCCAUUUCCGAAAAGCAAUCUAGGCGUGACUGGCCCCAGACCUCACCAUCAGAGGUCCUGGAGGAAACUUCCAAAUGGGAGACCUAGGAGUUGAAUAAUUGUCUUAUCAAGCCAAAUAUUCCCACUGUCCCAGCCAACACACCCACUUUGUAUGACCAGCCUCUUCCACAGCCUGGCUCUGACUUUUCCUGGCAGAUGUGUGGUUGUGGGAGGGCUCCUAGGAGGGUCGGGGAACCUGGCACUCCAAGAGCUGCUCAGCUGGAGGAAGGGGCGCUGGAGGCAGAGCUGGCCACACGCGAGGAGCUGGUCUCCGCCACCUGCUGCCACCUGUCUCACCACUCGUGAUACUCGGAACCACCAGAGAAAGAAAAGAUGGGAUGGUGGACAAGGAAGCCAUGGCUGUUCUGCUUUUGUGUGGCAAGGAAACAGUUACAGGGUGGGUUGAAGGGCUCUGCAGUGGGGUCAAGGACUCCAACAGCCACAGGCGAGCUUGCACAUAACUCAUCAUCCUCUCCUGUGGGGUGGGGGCGUCUGUACUGAUCUUGGACUUGUCAUCUCGGGGCAGUUUUACUUAUUUACAUUCAGUGGGUUAGUGCCAAGUGCUCCCACUCCCCAGGAAAGGACUGGGGACCCCGUGUCUGGGUCCCCAGCUGCCUUUGUUGGUGUGGGCUUAUUGUUACUCUGACAAGACUGCUUUGGAAGAGCUGCUUUUAGGGAUUCCCUUUUAAGUACCCCAGGUUGGGAACAGGGUUCUCACAGCCUCACAGACAAGAGCAUAGGAAAGGGGCCCGAUUUUCCUGCUGCUUCACAGCUCAGAACAUGUACUGAAUGGAAUGUAUUUUUAAGAGAAUAAAGUCUAUUUUUUUUUUUUUUUUUUUGUAUUUUAAAGAUUGGGAGGGCUAGGGAAGUAGCCCUCAAAUAAACAGUUAUUACCUUAUAGGCCCCUUCGCUGGGGACACAUCAGUGUGUUGGUCUACACCUACUCGCUCAGGCAGGUCCUCUGGCCGCUCCCUUGCCCCUUGGAGGCUGGGUGCAGCAGCUUCUUACAUUCCUGCUCCAAGCACGGGACCAAGGAGGCCAGACCCUGUUGCUGGAAACCAGGGCAAAGCCAUGGGCAAUGACUCAGGGCUCCUGGGUGCAUGUGAAUAGUUGAAGCUGCCUGUCUGCAUGUAUCCUCUGGCUCUAAUGCGGUCUGCUGGCUCUGCAGUACAGUAUGUAACCAAUAAAGCUCCCCAGUUUCCACA